rnacentral:rRNA from 1 species
AGCAGCCGCGGUAACUCCAGCUCCAAUAGCGUAUAUUAAAGUUGUUGCAGUUAAAAAGCUCGUAGUUGAAUUUCGGGGUCAGUAGGUUGGUCAUGCCUCCGGUAUGUACUGGUCUCACUGAUUCCUCCUUCCUGAUGAGCCGUAAUGCCAUUAAUUUGGUGUUGCGGGGAAUCUGGACUGUUACUUUGAAAAAAUUAGAGUGUUUAAAGCAAGCUAACGCUUGAAUACAUUAGCAUGGAAUAAUGGAAUAGGACGUUCGAUCCUAUUUUGUUGGUUUCUAGGAUUGACGUAAUGAUUAAUAGGGAUAGUUGGGGGCAUUAGUAUUCAAUUGUCAGAGGUGAAAUUCUUGGAUUUAUUGAAGACUAACUACUGCGAAAGCAUUUGCCAAGGAUGUUUUCAUUAAUCAAGAACGAAAGUUAGGGGAUCGAAGACGAUCAGAUACCGUCGUAGUCUUAACCAUAAACUAUGCCGACUAGGGAUCGGAUGAUGUUAAUUUUUUAAUGACUCAUUCGGCGCCUUACG